CUGGGCGUUAAGUUGCAGGGUAUAGACCCGAAACCCGGUGAUCUAGCCAUGGGCAGGUUGAAGGUUGGGUAACACUAACUGGAGGACCGAACCGACUAAUGUUGAAAAAUUAGCGGAUGACUUGUGGCUGGGGGUGAAAGGCCAAUCAAACCGGGAGAUAGCUGGUUCUCCCCGAAAGCUAUUUAGGUAGCGCCUCGUGAAUUCAUCUCCGGGGGUAGAGCACUGUUUCGGCAAGGGGGUCAUCCCGACUUACCAACCCGAUGCAAACUGCGAAUACCGGAGAAUGUUAUCACGGGAGACACACGGCGGGUGCUAACGUCCGUCGUGAAGAGGGAAACAACCCAGACCGCCAGCUAAGGUCCCAAAGUCAUGGUUAAGUGGGAAACGAUGUGGGAAGGCCCAGACAGCCAGGAUGUUGGCUUAGAAGCAGCCAUCAUUUAAAGAAAGCGUAAUAGCUCACUGGUCGAGUCGGCCUGCGCGGAAGAUGUAACGGGGCUAAACCAUGCACCGAAGCUGCGGCAGCGACGCUUAUGCGUUGUUGGGUAGGGGAGCGUUCUGUAAGCCUGUGAAGGUGUGCUGUGAGGCAUGCUGGAGGUAUCAGAAGUGCGAAUGCUGACAUAAGUAACGAUAAAGCGGGUGAAAAGCCCGCUCGCCGGAAGACCAAGGGUUCCUGUCCAACGUUAAUCGGGGCAGGGUGAGUCGACCCCUAAGGCGAGGCCGAAAGGCGUAGUCGAUGGGAAACAGGUUAAUAUUCCUGUACUUGGUGUUACUGCGAAGGGGGGACGGAGAAGGCUAUGUUGGCCGGGCGACGGUUGUCCCGGUUUAAGCGUGUAGGCUGGUUUUCCAGGCAAAUCCGGAAAAUCAAGGCUGAGGCGUGAUGACGAGGCACUACGGUGCUGAAGCAACAAAUGCCCUGCUUCCAGGAAAAGCCUCUAAGCAUCAGGUAACAUCAAAUCGUACCCCAAACCGACACAGGUGGUCAGGUAGAGAAUACCAAGGCGCUUGAGAGAACUCGGGUGAAGGAACUAGGCAAAAUGGUGCCGUAACUUCGGGAGAAGGCACGCUGAUAUGUAGGUGAAGCGACUUGCUCGUGGAGCUGAAAUCAGUCGAAGAUACCAGCUGGCUGCAACUGUUUAUUAAAAACACAGCACUGUGCAAACACGAAAGUGGACGUAUACGGUGUGACGCCUGCCCGGUGCCGGAAGGUUAAUUGAUGGGGUCAGCGCAAGCGAAGCUCUUGAUCGAAGCCCCGGUAAACGGCGGCCGUAACUAUAACGGUCCUAAGGUAGCGAAAUUCCUUGUCGGGUAAGUUCCGACCUGCACGAAUGGCGUAAUGAUGGCCAGGCUGUCUCCACCCGAGACUCAGUGAAAUUGAACUCGCUGUGAAGAUGCAGUGUACCCGCGGCAAGACGGAAAGACCCCG
rnacentral:rRNA from 1 species